GCUGGGAUAGCUUGGUUGGUAGAGCAUGAAACUCUCCAUCUCAGAGAUGUGGGUUUGAGCCCCACAUUGGACA